GCGCGCUCCCCCCUAGGGUUCCGGAUGGUGAGCGGCGAAGGUAAGGCGAGCUCGCAGAGGCAUCGGCGGCGGCGGCGGAGACGGAGAGAGGCAGGCAGGCAGGGCGAGGGCGAGAGACGGAGGGAGGGAGCGAGCGAGGCGGACCAGACAGACAGACAGGCGGGCGGGCGGGCAGAGCGAGCCACCCGCCAGGCUGCGCUCAGCCCCGCUCGCAGCGGAGAGAGCAGAAGGCAGGAGGAGGGAGGGGAGGAGGAGGAGGGAGGGAGAGAGGGAAUCCAGCUACCACCACCCAAAGCCAGCGUCUGCUUUCUGUCCUCAUUUCCUUUUCCCACCCAGCUUGGAGAGCAGAGAAAGGCAGAGAGAGCGAGAAAUAGAGACAGUCUGAGAGACAGACAGACAGCCAGAGAGAGCGGGAGGGAGGAGGGCGGAGGAGGAGGAGCAGGAGGACUACGCGGGGCGCGUUCCCUCCCAGCAGCCGGGCGCCCGCGUCGCUGCCACCGCCGGAAGACAGACGCCCCCUAA
rnacentral:lncRNA from 1 species